UACAGGGGGUGCAAACGUUGCUCGGAAUCAUUGGGCGUAAAGCGCACGUAGGCGGUCUGUUAUGUCGGACGUGAAAGCCCUUGGCUCAACUGAGGAAGUGCAUCCGAAACUGGCAGGCUAGAGUACUAAAGAGGAUCGCGGAAUUCCCGGUGUAGAGGUGAAAUUCGUAGAUAUCGGGAGGAACACCGGUGGCGAAGGCGGCGACCUGGGUAGAUACUGACGCUGAGGUGCGAAAGCGUGGGGAGCAAACAGG
rnacentral:rRNA from 1 species